CCUACGGGAGGCAGCAGUGGGGAAUAUUGGACAAUGGGGGGAACCCUGAUCCAGCCAUGCCGCGUGUGUGAAGAAGGCCCUCGGGUUGUAAAGCACUUUCAGUGAGGAAGAACGCCUGGUGGUUAAUACCCAUCAGGAAAGACAUCACUCACAGAAGAAGCACCGGCUAACUCCGUGCCAGCAGCCGCGGUAAUACGGAGGGUGCGAGCGUUAAUCGGAAUUACUGGGCGUAAAGCGCGCGUAGGUGGCUUGAUAAGCCGGUUGUGAAAGCCCCGGGCUCAACCUGGGAACGGCAUCCGGAACUGUCAAGCUAGAGGGCAGGAGAGGAAGGUAGAAUUCCCGGUGUAGCGGUGAAAUGCGUAGAGAUCGGGAGGAAUACCAGUGGCGAAGGCGGCCUUCUGGACUGACACUGACACUGAGGUGCGAAAGCGUGGGUAGCAAACAGGAUUAGAUACCCUUGUAGUC
rnacentral:rRNA from 1 species